GACGAACGCUGGCGGCGUGCCUAAUACAUGCAAGUAGAACGCAGUUGCGAACGGGUGAGUAACGCGUAGGUAACUGCCUGGUAGUGGGGGGGAACUAUUGGAAACAAUAGCUAAUACUGCAUACUACUAUAUGGACCUGCGUUGUAUUAGCUAGUUGGUGAGGUAACGGCUCACCAAGGCAACGAUGCAUAGCCGACCUGAGAGGGUGAUCGGCCACACUGGGACUGAGACACGGCCCAGACUCCUACGGGAGGCAACAGUAGGGAAUCUUCGGCAAUGGACGAAAGUCUGACCGAGCAACGCCGCGUGAGUGAAGAAGGUUUUCGGAUCGUAAAACUCUGUUGUUAGAGAAGCGGUAUCUAACCAGAAAGCCACGGCUAACUACGUGCCAGCAGCCGCGGUAAUUC
rnacentral:rRNA from 1 species